AUGCCUCUCGCUCUCGGGCUCCUAAUAGCAGCUCCUGAUAUUCUCGCUGCUUGCCAGGGACUGUGCCCUCCGCUAGAGAGCGCUAUUGGACCGUUUUCGCGCAUCCAACCCUCUCACUGCAGUCCCCACGCUCUAACAUUGACUGUCUCGCCGCAAAAGGCGCUUCGAGCAGCAUUGGAUCGAGUAACCAUGUCAGGCGUUUCCUCAGACACUCUGCGCGAUUCAGCCUUCAGAAUCCGAGGAACGCUACAAGGGUCUGGCAAAGACGGCCCGUUUAUGACGGCUCAUACAGCCGCCGCUUUUUCGCUAGCGGCAGAGCCCGAUGUUCAUCUUGUUGGAUUAAUUCCUGCCGUGGACACGCUUCAGGAUUAUACACAACGAGAUGCAACGGAUUUGACGCACGCGCUUCCCCGGCUUACGGACGCCGCGAGCUUUCCGUAUUCGGGCAUGUUAACGCGUAUGAAAACGCUGAAAAAGGCGGAAACCUUGAAACCACUGACGCUAUUUCGGGCCGCGUGGGAACGCUUGCCCGGCAUUUCGCAAUGGGUGUUACGCACGAUUCGUCUCGGAUACACCAUUCAGUUUCGAAAAGGCCCGCCUCCUUUCCGCGGAAUUCUUCCCACGGUUGUGAAACCAGAGGAAGUCGCGGUGCUGCGGCAAGAAAUGACAGCUCUGCUGAAGAAAGGGGCUAUAGAAGAAGUACACCCCUCUCAGAUGGAGUCAGGUUUUUACAGCCGCUAUUUUGUUGUACCAAAAAAAGGGGGCGGUUUGCGACCCAUAUUGGAUCUACGCCGUUUGAAUCUUGCACUCAGGACGAGCAAAUUCAAGAUGUUAACGGUAAAGUCCAUUUUGUCUCAGAUUCAACCAAACACUUGGUUUGUCACGAUCGAUCUGAAGGAUGCAUAUUUUCAUAUUCAGAUCAUCAAGAGACACAGGAAGUUCCUCAGAUUCGCUUUAGAGGGCAAAGCGUAUCAAUACCGUGUUCUUCCGUUCGGCUUAGCCCUGGCUCCCCGAUGGUCCUCCCUGAGCACUUUUGUCAAGUUUUACAGUCUGGAUGUAAGGACGGCUCCUGGCUCCCGGGUUCUCUCCGCUUGA
ensembl:lncRNA